UACGUAGGGUGCAAGCGUUGUCCGGAAUUAUUGGGCGUAAAGAGCUCGUAGGCGGUUUGUCGCGUCUGCUGUGAAAACUCGGGGCUUAACCCCGGGCCUGCAGUGGGUACGGGCAGACUAGAGUGUGGUAGGGGGAGACUGGAAUUCCUGGUGUAGCGGUGAAAUGCGCAGAUAUCAGGAGGAACACCGAUGGCGAAGGCAGGUCUCUGGGCCACUACUGACGCUGAGAAGCGAAAGCAUGGGGGAGCGAACAGG
rnacentral:rRNA from 1 species